AUGCCCUGUAGCUCAAUAGGUAGCGCGUUGGACUUCUAAUCCAAAGGUCGUGGGUUCGAAUCCUACCUGGGAUA